rnacentral:misc_RNA from 1 species
AAAAUCCAUUGAUGUAUCGAAUAUCACAUUAAAACAAACUUCGAUGGAUAUCGGCCAUCACUAUUGCAGACUACAAAUUACUGAUUGAAUUCAUCUCAAUUAUUGUUCUUAUUGAAAUUAAAUUAAAAGCGACCAGAGAAGAAUUUUUUAAGAUAUCGUAUGGUACAUCCAUCGAAAUUCCCCAUACGCACAAUAACCUCUAUUGCAGUUCACACUGAACAAGAGAUAUUUUUUACAGUAAUAUUUUUUGAUGUCUAACUUUUAUUAAAAGGAGGAGACAUAGAUAAAACCGAUUUAGCAAUCGUCAAACCAGAAAGUUUUUGUAAUAUGGACAAGAAAAUGUCGUCUUCGCAGCCACGUGUAUUAAAAAAAAAACAUUUUCGGGUAAAGCAUCAAAAAGUAAAACUUUUUCGUGCCAGCGAACCGAUUCUGAGCGUUUUUAUGUGGGGCAUUAAUCACACGAUAAAUGAACUAAGUCAUGUUAAUAUUCCUGUGAUGCUUUUGCCAGAUGACUUUCGUGCAUUCUCAAAAAUCAAAGUUGAUAAUCAUCUUUUUAAUAAGGAAAAUAUGCCGUCACAUUUCAAAGUCAAAGAAUAUUGUCCUUUAGUAUUUCGGAACUUGCGUGAGCGAUUCAGUGUUGAUGAUGUUGAUUAUCGCGAGUCAUUAACUCGCUCACAGCCAUUACGUAUUGACUCAUCAGGUAAAUCCGGAGCGCAGUUUUACCAAAGUUAUGAUAAAUUUUUUAUAAUAAAGAGCUUGACAUCGGAGGAAAUCGAACGUAUGCAUGCAUUUUUAAAGCAAUAUCACCCAUACAUCGUUGAAAAACAUGGCAAAACUCUUUUACCACAAUAUUUGGGUAUGUAUAGAAUAACGGUUGAAAGCGGUCAACAUUAUUUUGUCGUUAUGAGGAAUAUAUUUAGUUCCCAUUUAACCAUACACAAGAAAUUUGACUUAAAAGGGAGUACCGUUGAUCGUGAGGCAUCUGAAAAGGAGUUAGAAAAGUAUUUACCUACAUACAAAGAUAAUGACUUUAUAAAGCAAAAAGUCAAGAUUGAAAUUGGAGAAGCAAAAACAAAAUUGUUGGACACUUUAUCAAGUGAUGUUGAUCUCCUUACAAAGUUGCACAUAAUGGACUACUCGCUCUUAGUCGGCAUACAUGACUGUGUUCGUGCUGAAGAGGAAGCAUUACAAGGGGAAAACUCGCAAGGGACUGCACGAAGCGAAAACAGCGAAAGCGAGGAAUGUGAUAGUGGAGAAAGAUGGACUUACAAUACACCACCUGACUCACCGCGCGGUGCACAAUAUAAGGAAGUUGUCUAUGAAGUGGAUAUCUACGCUAUUCCGAGCGUUGAAGAAAGGAGAGAAAUUUAUUUUAUUGCCAUUAUAGAUGUGCUAACACAAUAUGGUGUAAAAAAACAGUUGGUGUUUACUUGCAUGAAAGAACGUUAAAUGGCAACGGAAAAUAUUAGGUGCGCCCGAGCUACGUAAUAAUUACAGCAGUACAGCAACAGUAUUGUAUAUUGGUAGUGACGGCACAACAUAUUGUUGUUGCAAGUGUUGCUAAAAAUUCACGCAGAACGUGAUACUUUGACAAAUUUGCAAUACUGCUGUCGUGAUUGCCAUCUCAAACGUCCCCGUAUCAGUUGCCGUAUUUUAAAUGGAAAAAAAUAUUUAGGCCGCCAAAGCAGCUAAAACUGUGAAGUAUGGAAGUAAUGUAGAUGGAAUUUCUACCUGUGAUCCCGAACAAUAUGCCAAACGUUUUCUUGACUUCAUGGACAAAGCGAUCGAGUAAUUAAUUGCUUCCUUGUAUGCGUAUGCUGGUGCCCAUUUUUGAAGAUGAACUGUAAACUGAAAGAAAUAUAGCCCUAAAUAUGCAUACGCCGUGCGAAUUUAGUACAUAUAUUUAUGCUGUUAUUAAUGGUUAUCGACAAUUUAACUUUGAUUAACUCUUUAGUAGAUUUGUCACUUUGAAGCUUUUUCUUUUCCUUAGAAUUUAAUUUUUGUUUAAUGACGCAGGGUAAUGAUGAUGAUAAUGGUGAUGUAAUGAUAAGCAUUGAGCUCCUAAAAAGAAUGCCGCGCUAUCAUUGUUGGUUCGAAAGCCAGUAAUAAAUAUCGCAUCUUAUACCUUCAUCGCAAUUCAGAGAAAUUAUUGCAUUCCAUUGGGCUCAAGUUUGCCCUGUGAUGGCUGCCUAGAAAACCCGACAUCUGAUUUAAAUACAACCUUAUUGUAUUUUCAGUUUCAUUUCAUUUCCAUACAAAUAAUAUUUCAAAUCACAUGCAUUGCGUAACAUCUUCUGUAUUAAUAAAAUUAUAUUUUUAUUAUCUUAAAGUAACUUUAAUGGAACAACGUCUCUUUAAAUUUAUUCCAUAAAAAAAUCUGAAUAAAGUCACGAAAUUAAUUUCAUUAUAGAAAACGCUAAUUGAUAUAUAUUCGGGAAAAUUAUAUGAGGGCAUGUAGGUUAAUAUUUCGAUUUUACGUGAACAAUUGUUUUACUGUUCUGAAUUUCAAACCAAAAUUCUUAUCCGUAUCGAGAAGAGGAGGAUAUGUUCGUAACAAAUCUAUCUGCCCUAAUUUAAGUAGGUUGCUAGAUAACCAAAAUGAGAUAAUUGAGGUGAAGAACACCCGGACACGCGGAAACUAAAAGUCCGUUUCAUGGCUGCAUUUUUAAUAUUGCUUUUUUAAAAUGAAAAUGAAAAAAAAAUCAUUUAUAUUACAAUAUAUUCGUAAAUAAAUUACAAAUGUAUUUUUUCACAAAUUUUUGAAAUGAACAUAUCUGGAGGAAUUGGCUUGUAAUUAAGAUUUGUUUGUUAGUCAUUAGCCAUUUAUGAAUUCUGUAAUACGUAUCGAGAUUUUAAAUUAACAAAAAAAAUUAAAAUAAAAAAUAAAACUGAAUUUGAAUUUUCCCAUCUUUAAAA